rnacentral:tRNA from 1 species
GUCCUCAUAGCUCAGCAGGAUAGAGCAUACGAUUCCUAAUCGUAAGGUCAUUGGUUCGAAUCCAAUUGGGGACACCA